rnacentral:lncRNA from 1 species
CUCACCAGCUUGAUGUCCCAAAUGUGAGCUGAACAAGGAAGGACACCACCAUAAUUAGUUCUAAUAAUGUAUGGGUUCUGAUCUGGAUCAUCAGGAGUUUAGACACGGGACUUUGGGAGCCUCUCUGUCUUGGGACAGCAAUGCUUAAGAUCUUAGGCGCCUCUACAGCCCAUUUCUAGUAUGUCCUGCCUCACCUUUCACUCACCUGAGUAAGGCAGAACAGGAGGCCAUUCUGGACCCUUGUAUAGCUUUGCACAGGAUGCUCGCAGCAACUCAGUAACAAUGUAGUCAGCAUUGAAGAUGUUGGCUAUCAGAACUCAUUCGUGGCCUGCCUGUAGCCCUUGGCUUGAACCUCAGGAGAAUGCAGCCCAAGAGGAAGAAGUUGGCGCUUGGAAGAAUUAAAUAGAAGGCAAGGUCAAAGCCCGAGCAGUGCACAUGUUUGGAACUGAAAUGGAAUAUUUCUGCCACUUUGCUCUUCUUCUGAUACACCUCAUAUAAUAUAAAACCCCCGUGGAUUCAUGUAAUAAUUAGUAUAGAUGUCUCUUCAUAUUAUUAGCUGACAGUUAACCUCCAUAUGACUUGAAGCAUCCAGUGUUUAAGACAAAUCUGUAGCACUUAUCUUAGGAGAGGUUAGAAGAAGGAGAGGCAGCUCUGUGUGAGUGCUAAGGGGCAGGGUUUCCUGAGCAGCUCUGUGGGCGGUUUCUCUAAUGCUGGCUGCAGUGGGCAUCAUGGCCAGUGCUGUUCCAUUUCCUCGGUGACUGCGCAUAUUUAUUGUAAAGGUGUGUCUUUGUAUUAAUAUGCAACUGGUGUAGGUUUUAAAUGCUGGCUUCCAAUGUCUCAUUCCUAAAAACAUUUUAGGUGGAUCUCUUAAGGAACAUUAAUAGAGGACUUUUUGAAGUAUGCCUCAAGUACUGACCUUUGCAUCAGGAAGCAAUGCACCUGCCUCGUGCGCUUUCGCUAGAAAACUACCGACUUGAAGUACAGUAUAGUUAUCAAUAAAAUGGAGUCAGGA